rnacentral:lncRNA from 1 species
UGAAACCAGAACCUUCUGCAUUUUCUCAGCUGUGAUGACGUACGUUAGUGCUAGACAUUAAUGAGCCUGAAGACAUAAAGAAGAAGUAUUUACCAUUGGAAAAUAUGCUCCACACUAAAACAAAGGAAUGCAGAUGGCAUAUUUACCUACUCAGAGCAGAGGGAAUAUGGUGCAGUAUAGACAGAAGAUGGCAAGAAACAGAUGCUAUUCCUGUCUGUCCGCUGGACUCGCCAA